CGUUGUUGUUUGUAUCGUGUCGUUAUGUCGCUCUCAUAAUUUUUGAGAUUUUUGAAGGAAAAAGUUAUUUUUCUGUACAUUAUUUCAAUGUAUUCUGUUCCUUAAGGCCUAUUUAACCUCUUGAAAAUGAACGUUAGUAAAAAUACACACCAGCAAAUGACCACCCAAAAAAAAAAAGACCUGGUCACCCCUUGGUAUAAUCCUGAUGUUGAGCUACCAUUCUGGUUUACGACAUUGAUCUUCUAUUAUCUAAUUAAAAAUUUUGUACAACAAAUCAAUGGAUGGCUACAGUUCCAUGGCAGUACAUUUAUCCUUUUGACAAAUAUUACUAACAAUGCAUUAGGGUUUAUAAGUAUAUCUAUAAUUUUAUUUCUGUUCGGUAUAUAACUAUAUAAUUUUACUGGUUUUUAAUGUUCGUCAAGGGAAUUCAUAAUUUUAAAAUUUAAUUACGUAAGAAAAAAAAUUCAAUUAGUCUCUGAGGUACAUUUUUAUGGUUCCUUAUUUUUUAUGUUAAUUUUUGGCUUUUGGACACUUCUUUUUUUUUUGGUAGGAUAUUUAGGACUUUACUUCAUGUUCAUUUUGGUUUACUUUUAAUUCUCUAUAAUAGCUUGACUCUUGAAUUCUCUUGAUUGUGGAAAUAAUAUCAUUUAUCAAUCCUAUAAAAUAUGCCAUUACCUAUAAGUAUUUCUAUAGGUCUUAUUUGUUUGGUAAAAUAUACCAUAUCUACUUAGAAUUUUACUUGAUGUUGUUUAUGGUUAGCUUUAAUUUUUUUAUAAUAGUUUGACUCCUAUAUUUUCUUCCUUGUAGGCAUAAUACCAUUCCUAAGUCUUCAAUUGGCAUUAUUAUGGUGUCAAAAUUCUUCUAAUACUGUUUUGCUUGUGUAAUUCCUUGUACAGAAUUUUUGUUUCAUGGAUUCCUUUGCAUGUCAUUCAUACAUGAAUUGUUAUAAUUUUACACUCAAAAUUUCCGAUCAAUUCCUGGCGCAUUCGCCAUUUAUUCAAAAACCUGACUUCCACAAGAUAACCACACCUCUGACUUGUCUAGCAUUUUUUCCAAUGCAUUUUCCUGUGUAACAUCGACUCCAGAGCAUCAUAACUAGCCUCCCCUAAGAGGAGGAAACCCGGGUCACCCCCUAACCCUGAUGUUCGGCCAUCGAUGACCUAUGUAGCAUGCAUAGGUACCCAAGGGAGUCACCACCCUCUGGUUUACGAGCUAGGUGUUCUAACGCUAGAGGCUUCGGCCGGAUACGACCUGGCACCCAAGCUACGAGACUUCUUCGUGCACGUAUCCCGUGACCCUCGAAGAGGCAGGGGGCGGGAUAUCGGACACAUUGAAGAUGAUGAGGGGGGUCCGCCUGUAGGGGGUCCCGGUGGAUGUCCGCUCGAUGGGUGACGAGGGUGACCCGAGACGAGGCUGCUUAGCUGGGAUGGGAACUGACUGGUGAGGCUUAAUCGUCGCCCAAAGGUUAAAUCUGAUGAAGGGAGGCGAACUUAUAUGCUCUGGGGGAUAUUUUCUUAUGUGCUUGAUGUCAAAUUUUGACUAAAUAUUUGUUAGAGGAGGCUAAGCAUUAUUUUUUGCCAAUUUUCCUGUUCUUAUUGACCAUAUAGCUCUUUAUUUAUUUUUAAUAUCAUCUAAAACUUUUUGCUCCAUCUUGCUUUUGGCCUACCUCUAUUUCACUUUUUUUCCGUCAUAUUUUCUGUAUUAUUUGAAUAUCAGUCAUAUAUACUAUUUCAAUGACUUGAUUGUGUUUUUAUUCAUUUCCAUGUCAUUUUUUCCAAUUUAUCUUUGAUUUUCAUGUCGUUUUUUUCAUUUCAUCAUAUCUCUGUUUCAUUAUUAUUCACUCAUAUUUUUAUUAUUAAUGGAAUAUCAUUAUAUUCAUCAUUCUCAUCCUUCUCAAAAUUUUCUAAGACAUAAUAUUUCAAUUUUUUCUAUUGCCUGUAUAGAAUUACAUAUUUUUGUAUUUGUUCUUUCAUUAUUAGGCUUCUAUAUUUCUUCUUUAUGGGAAUGCCAUCAAUCAUCAAUUCUAUAAACUCUUCCAUUGAUUGUAUUUCUAAAAUCUUCUUAUAUGUAUACAAUUGUAUAAUUUUUUGUGUCAUUCUUCCUUGGCUUUUCUUCACUUUUUUGAAGUUCAUUACUCAUUUUCAUGCAAUUUUUUCUUUCCACAUCUGUUUCUUUAAAAAAAAUUCUGAAAAUCUAUUAAUUUACGUAUUUCUGAGUUAUCUGCGUCAUCAUUUAUUUAUAUCAAUUUAUUUUUUUUGUAUUGUGUUAUUCUGUGUCAAGACUAGUCUAAGGCAUUUUAUAUCUAUUCUCUGUAGAAUGUAAUAUUAUCUUUUUGAUGUUUUUUUUUCAAUUCAUCAUACCAUACAGAGUAGAAGUUUAGUUAUUCUUAAAUAUAAUUUAUUAUUUUUCUUCUAUGUUUAUUCUAUUUUUCAUUAUCUUUUUUAUUUAUAUUAUUUAUGAUAUCAUUGCUAUUUUUCUAAUACUUCCAGGUCUUUGAUUUUAUUUUCUAUUGAUGCCCACAUCGAUAUUUAUAGUUCUAGAUUCAUUUUCUAAUUGAUUUUCUUGUCAUUUAUUUUCUAAUUCCAUUUAAAAUUGAGUUAUUAAAUGGAGUAUUGUACUGCUUUGGAACAAGGAUUUUUUGUGGCAUCACUUCAAGAGGACUUCAAGGGACUGCACUACAAGCAACCACCCAUCUUCAAAAUGCCAUUAGGUUGAUUAAAUUCAACAUUCAACAGUGGAUUGAGGAUGAAAUUCAUCAUUGAAGAGGAAGCUUAAUAAUUUUAGAACCAAGACUUUCCAGAAUGGUAGCCAGAAGAUUUAUUUACCUCAACAUCAGCAUGUCCCUCAACAUUUUGUAUUUUAAUAUACUUUUUAUUUUACUCUUUGUUAAUUAAAAUGGAA
rnacentral:lncRNA from 1 species